UACGUAGGGUCCGAGCGUUGUCCGGAAUUAUUGGGCGUAAAGGGCGCGUAGGCGGUUCGUACAGUCAGACGUGAAAUUCCUGGGCUCAACCUGGGGGCUGCGUUUGAUACGUGCGGACUUGAGUGCGGAAGAGGGUCGUGGAAUUCCCAGUGUAGAGGUGAAAUUCGUAGAUAUUGGGAAGAACACCGGUGGCGAAGGCGGCGACCUGGUCCGAUACUGACGCUGAGGCGCGAAAGCGUGGGGAGCAAACAGG
rnacentral:rRNA from 1 species